ACGGAGGGUGCAAGCGUUAAUCGGAAUUACUGGGCGUAAAGCGCACGCAGGCGGUUUGUUAAGUCAGAUGUGAAAUCCCCGGGCUCAACCUGGGAACUGCAUCUGAUACUGGCAAGCUUGAGUCCAGUAGAGGGGGGUGGAAUUCGAGAUGUAGCGGUGAAAUGCUUAGAGAUCUGGCAGAACACCGAUGGCGAAGGCAGCUUACUAGACGGAGACUGACGCUGAGGUGCGAAAGCGUGGGGAGCAAACAG
rnacentral:rRNA from 1 species